rnacentral:rRNA from 1 species
GACGAACCGUCCAAACGUUAUUCGGAAUCACUGGGCUUAAAGGGUGCGUAGGCGGCCCUGAAAGUUGGGUGUGAAAUCCCUCGGCUCAACCGAGGAAUUGCGCCCAAAACUGCAGGGCUUGAGGAAGACAGAGGUGAGCGGAACUUGCGGUGGAGCGGUGAAAUGCGUUGAUAUCGCAAGGAACACCAGUAGCGAAAGCGGCUCACUGGGUCUUCCCUGACGCUGAAGCACGAAAGCUAGGGGAGCGAACGGG